UUGACAAUAGUAUUUUGGGAAGCUGAGGCCU
rnacentral:piRNA from 1 species